UCGCGGCCUAUCAGCUUGUUGGUGAGGUAAUGGCUCACCAUGGCGACGACGGGUAGCCGGCCUGAGAGGGUGACCGGCCACACUGGGACUGAGACACGGCCCAGACUCCUACGGGAGGCAGCAGUGGGGAAUAUUGCACAAUGGGCGCAAGCCUGAUGCAGCAACGCCGCGUGAGGGAUGACGGCCUUCGGGUUGUAAACCUCUUUUGUCAGGGAAGAAGCCUUCGGGUGACGGUACCUGGAGAAAAAGCACCGGCUAACUACGUGCCAGCAGCCGCGGUAAUACGUAGGGUGCAAGCGUUGUCCGGAAUUAUUGGGCGUAAAGAGCUCGUAGGCGGCUUGUCGCGUCUGCUGUGAAAACCCGAGGCUCAACCUCGGGCCUGCAGUGGGUACGGGCAGGCUAGAGUGCGGUAGGGGAGAUUGGAAUUCCUGGUGUAGCGGUGGAAUGCGCAGAUAUCAGGAGGAACACCGAUGGCGAAGGCAGAUCUCUGGGCCGCUACUGACGCUGAGGAGCGAAAGCAUGGGGAGCGAACAGGAUUAGAUACCCUGGUAGUCCAUGCCGUAAACGUUGGGAACUAGAUGUAGGGCCUGUUCCACGGGUUCUGUGUCGUAGCUAACGCAUUAAGUUCCCCGCCUGGGGAGUACGGCCGCAAGGCUAAAACUCAAAGGAAUUGACGGGGGCCCGCACAAGCGGCGGAGCAUGCGGAUUAAUUCGAUGCAACGCGAAGAACCUUACCAAGGCUUGACAUAUACGAGAACACUGCAGAGAUGCAGGACUCUUUGGACACUCGUAUACAGGUGGUGCAUGGUUGUCGUCAGCUCGUGUCGUGAGAUGUUCGGUUAAGUCCCGGCAACGAGCGCAACCCUCGUCCUAUGUUGCCAGCACGUUAUGGUGGGAACUCAUGGGAUACUGCCGUGGUCAACACGGAGGAAGGUGGGGAUGACGUCAAAUCAUCAUGCCCCUUAUGUCUUGGGCUUCACGCAUGCUACAAUGGCCGAUACAAAGGGCUGCGAUACCGCGAGGUGGAGCGAAUCCCAAAAAGUCGGUCUCAGUUCGGAUUGGGGUCUGCAACUCGACCCCAUGAAGUCGGAGUCGCUAGUAAUCGCAGAUCAGCAACGCUGCGGUGAAUACGUUCCCGGGCCUUGUACACACCGCCCGUCAAGUCAUGAAAGUCGGUAACACCCGAAGCCGGUGGCCUAACCCCUUGUGGGAGGGAGCUGUCGAAGGUGGGGCUGGA
rnacentral:rRNA from 1 species